GCCAGAAUUUGAACCUAAGUAGGUUGGCUCCAGAGCCAAAAGAUUCUGGAGCCCUCUCCCUGGCCCAUCUGUGCAUUUACCUGCGAUGCCACUGUUUGUGGGGCUGAGAGGUUGGACAGACUUCCCACCUGUCCACAGGACCGAUACAUUGUGUUCUGCCGAUCUUUCUGGCAGUGGCUGCGGGCUUGAGGUUCUGAUUGUACCUUCCUGAGGCUGUCUGGAAAUCCAGAACCUCACUCCCUCUGGAGGAGCUCUGUGGGAUUUCUUCACCGGGUGGAGACCUGGCCCUCUCUGGAAACACUCCACAAAUAGCAGGGGAAUCAAUGAGUGUUUGCAGCACUUUCAGCCCUGAGGAUUGAACUUCUGUUCUAGAAAAGACCAGAGGCAACAUUAGAAGGAGGGAGCUCCCUGUUGUUGGGGUGCAACCAUCCAGAAGGACCCUGGACACGUGCUGGGAAGAACAGUCUAGCCACCUAGAAUUACCCCAGAAAUGGGUGCCCGCCUGCUACAGGGCCAUGACCUUCUCCAGAAGCUGCUAGGCCUCCGGAGACGCAGAAUGCCGGCCCGCGCUAUUCCAGACAAGCGUCAGGCUGCUCAAGGCCAGGCCAGUGACUGGAGGGGAGACAAGUCUGCAUUAAUCCCCACCCACUCGGGCAAGAAGGCGGCCUCGGGCCUAAAGAUCUUCAGGAAGUUGGAGUCAGGCAGGGUGAAGUUGGCCAGGUAGACGGUGUCCCCACCGGUCAGGUAGGCGGCCCAGAAGCCAAAGGUGCCAAUGGUCAUGAUGGUGUGGUUGCACUGUGUGAGCAGGGCGAAGUCCCUCCCCGGUGAGCCCUCUUGCCCGUCGCCAGCAAAAAUCACAUCCCCGUGGGAGGUGUCCAUAUUUUUCCGGCACCACUCCAUGCCAUUGCUGGUGACCACAAAGAUGGGGUCUUCGUGCCGUGCCCGGAACCAGUCCAUGGCCUGCUGGAGGUAAGCGCGAUCGCCGACCACCCCCUUCCAGCGCUGGGGCAUCACCUGUAGGUAGUCCCCGCGGCGCACGUGGACACCCACAAAGGUGCGCGGGCGGCGCCCGGUGCGGCCCAGGCGGAGCCGACUCAGCACACCCUGGGCCUCCCGCCGAAGGUGGUCGUGCAGGGUGAAUUCCCUGCGGACCUGUUCCCGGAGAUGGUGGAAGAAGGUCCAGGAGCAGGGGAAGCCGGUGAGCUUCAGCAAGGGGUCCUCCAAGUGGGCAUACUCCUGUGACAUCCAGUCGUGCAGCUCCAACUCCCGCCAGGGCGUGUGGCUGUCCACGUCGGGCGCCAGCACGGGCAGGGUGAUGCGGAACACGGGGGCGAGGGCAGUGUGCAUGGAGGGCAGGAUGAAGGCCCGGCGCCCGUUGAGCUGGGCCAGGGCCAGGAGCGUGGCGUACUGCCCCAUCUGGUUACCGAACCGGCCA